rnacentral:lncRNA from 1 species
GCGUGUUGUUGAUGAGUUGUUGUUGUUGUUUGCUCUGGUCACGUGAUCUCGCUCCUCCAGUAGAGGGCUUGUGAGCUGCGCAUGCGCACUGCUCAGUGCUGUCAGUCACCUCACCGCGUCUGGCGGAUCUCUCGGGCUCUCAGUGCGGGUCCUGUAGGUGAUCCGGGGCAGAUGAAGCCUGUGUUUGAGCGGCACGCGUUUGGGCUGAACCCCUGACUGCGGACAGCAGCCGAGCGAUCUCUAAUGAUGCAGAGUGAAGACCGCAAGAGAAAGAAGCACAGUUUGAACCCCAGAAGCGUGUCAGACGAGUACAGUCUGCGUGAGCGACCGAAAGACGAAGCCACAAAGAUGAAGAAUAAAGUUUCUACUUCACAAGGCAGGAAACAGAAUCUUCUUGCGUGCUUCAUAAAAACACACACUGUGCCGAUGAGUCUGGCUUCAUGUUAUCUAGUGUGUCUAAUGUUGCUCUGUAUUUCAUGA